rnacentral:rRNA from 2 species
GGUUAAGCGACUAAGCGUACACGGUGGAUGCCCUGGCAGUCAGAGGCGAUGAAGGACGUGCUAAUCUGCGAAAAGCGUCGGUAAGGUGAUAUGAACCGUUAUAACCGGCGAUGUCCGAAUGGGGAAACCCAGUGCAAUUCGUUGCACUAUCGUUAACUGAAUACAUAGGUUAACGAGGCGAACCGGGGGAACUGAAACAUCUAAGUACCCCGAGGAAAAGAAAUCAACCGAGAUUCCCCCAGUAGCGGCGAGCGAACGGGGAGCAGCCCAGAGUCUGAAUCAGCUUGUGUGUUAGUGGAACGGUCUGGAAAGUCCGACGGUACAGGGUGAUAGUCCCGUACACCAAAAUGCACAGGCUGUGAACUCGAAGAGUAGGGCGGGACACGUGGUAUCCUGUCUGAAUAUGGGGGGACCAUCCUCCAAGGCUAAAUACUCCUGACUGACCGAUAGUGAACCAGUACCGUGAGGGAAAGGCGAAAAGAACCCCGGCGAGGGGAGUGAAAAAGAACCUGAAACCGUGUACGUACAAGCAGUGGGAGCACCUUCGGGUGUGACUGCGUACCUUUUGUAUAAUGGGUCAGCGACUUAUAUUCUGUAGCAAGGUUAACCGUAUAGGGGAGCCGCAGGGAAACCGAGUCUUAACUGGGCGUUAAGUUGCAGGGUAUAGACCCGAAACCCGGUGAUCUAGCCAUGGGCAGGUUGAAGGUUGGGUAACACUAACUGGAGGACCGAACCGACUAAUGUUGAAAAAUUAGCGGAUGACUUGUGGCUGGGGGUGAAAGGCCAAUCAAACCGGGAGAUAGCUGGUUCUCCCCGAAAGCUAUUUAGGUAGCGCCUCGUGAACUCAUCUUCGGGGGUAGAGCACUGUUUCGGCUAGGGGGUCAUCCCGACUUACCAACCCGAUGCAAACUACGAAUACCGAAGAAUGUUAUCACGGGAGACACACGGCGGGUGCUAACGUCCGUCGUGAAGAGGGAAACAACCCAGACCGCCAGCUAAGGUCCCAAAGUCAUGGUUAAGUGGGAAACGAUGUGGGAAGGCACAGACAGCCAGGAUGUUGGCUUAGAAGCAGCCAUCAUUUAAAGAAAGCGUAAUAGCUCACUGGUCGAGUCGGCCUGCGCGGAAGAUGUAACGGGGCUAAACCAUGCACCGAAGCUGCGGCAGCGACACUAUGUGUUGUUGGGUAGGGGAGCGUUCUGUAAGCCUGCGAAGGUGACCUGUGAGGGUUGCUGGAGGUAUCAGAAGUGCGAAUGCUGACAUAAGUAACGAUAAAGCGGGUGAAAAGCCCGCUCGCCGGAAGACCAAGGGUUCCUGUCCAACGUUAAUCGGGGCAGGGUGAGUCGACCCCUAAGGCGAGGCCGAAAGGCGUAGUCGAUGGGAAACAGGUUAAUAUUCCUGUACUUGGUGUUACUGCGAAGGGGGGACGGAGAAGGCUAUGUUAGCCGGGCGACGGUUGUCCCGGUUUAAGCAUGUAGGCUGGUUGUCCAGGCAAAUCCGGAUAAUCAAGGCUGAGGUGUGAUGACGAGGCACUACGGUGCUGAAGUAACAAAUGCCCUGCUUCCAGGAAAAGCCUCUAAGCAUCAGGUAACAUCAAAUCGUACCCCAAACCGACACAGGUGGUCAGGUAGAGAAUACCAAGGCGCUUGAGAGAACUCGGGUGAAGGAACUAGGCAAAAUGGUGCCGUAACUUCGGGAGAAGGCACGCUGGUGUGUAGGUGAAGUCCCUGCGGAUGGAGCUGAGACCAGUCGAAGAUACCAGCUGGCUGCAACUGUUUAUUAAAAACACAGCACUGUGCAAACACGAAAGUGGACGUAUACGGUGUGACGCCUGCCCGGUGCCGGAAGGUUAAUUGAUGGGGUUAUCCGUAAGGAGAAGCUCUUGAUCGAAGCCCCGGUAAACGGCGGCCGUAACUAUAACGGUCCUAAGGUAGCGAAAUUCCUUGUCGGGUAAGUUCCGACCUGCACGAAUGGCGUAAUGAUGGCCAGGCUGUCUCCACCCGAGACUCAGUGAAAUUGAACUCGCUGUGAAGAUGCAGUGUACCCGCGGCAAGACGGAAAGACCCCGUGAACCUUUACUAUAGCUUGACACUGAACAUUGAGCCUUGAUGUGUAGGAUAGGUGGGAGGCUUUGAAGCGUGGACGCCAGUCUGCGUGGAGCCAACCUUGAAAUACCACCCUUUAAUGUUUGAUGUUCUAACGUUGGCCCCUUACCGGGGUUGCGGACAGUGUCUGGUGGGUAGUUUGACUGGGGCGGUCUCCUCCCAAAGCGUAACGGAGGAGCACGAAGGUUAGCUAAUCCUGGUCGGACAUCAGGAGGUUAGUGCAAUGGCAUAAGCUAGCUUGACUGCGAGCGUGACGGCGCGAGCAGGUGCGAAAGCAGGUCAUAGUGAUCCGGUGGUUCUGAAUGGAAGGGCCAUCGCUCAACGGAUAAAAGGUACUCCGGGGAUAACAGGCUGAUACCGCCCAAGAGUUCAUAUCGACGGCGGUGUUUGGCACCUCGAUGUCGGCUCAUCACAUCCUGGGGCUGAAGUAGGUCCCAAGGGUAUGGCUGUUCGCCAUUUAAAGUGGUACGCGAGCUGGGUUUAGAACGUCGUGAGACAGUUCGGUCCCUAUCUGCCGUGGGCGCUGGAGAAUUGAGGGGGGCUGCUCCUAGUACGAGAGGACCGGAGUGGACGCAUCACUGGUGUUCGGGUUGUCAUGCCAAUGGCACUGCCCGGUAGCUAAAUGCGGAAGAGAUAAGUGCUGAAAGCAUCUAAGCACGAAACUUGCCCCGAGAUGAGUUCUCCCUGAGACUUUAAGUCUCCUGAAGGAACGUUGAAGACGACGACGUUGAUAGGCCGGGUGUGUAAGCGCAGCGAUGCGUUGAGCUAACCGGUACUAAUGAACCGUGAGGCUUAACCUU